rnacentral:tRNA from 1 species
GUCGCCAGGUAGCGGGCGGCGCUGGCGUGGCCGCUGCGCUCGGCCAGCGCCAGCCAGGUCCAGGCCUGGGUGGCGUCG